rnacentral:tRNA from 1 species
GCCGCGUUAGCUCAAUUGGUAGAGCAGCGCUUUUGUAAAGCGAAGGUUGCGGGUUCGAUUCCUGCACGCGGCACCA